AUUGAACGCUGGCGGCAGGCCUAACACAUGCAAGUCGAGCGGAUGAAGGGUGCUUGCUCCUGGAUUCAGCGGCGGACGGGUGCGUAAUGCCUAGGAAUCUGCCUGGUAGUGGGGGAUAACGUCCGGAAACGGGCGCUAAUACCGCAUACGUCCUGAGGGAGAAAGAGGGGGAUCUUCGGACCUCACGCUAUCAGAUGAGCGUAGGUCGGAUUAGCUAGUUGGUGGGGUAAAGGCCUACCAAGGCGACGAUCCGUAACUGGUCUGAGAGGAUGAUCAGUCACACUGGAACUGAGACACGGUCCAGACUCCUACGGGAGGCAGCAGUGGGGAAUAUUGUACAAUGGGCGAAAGCCUGAUCCAGCCAUGCCGCGUGUGUGAAGAAGUUCUUCGGAUUGUAAAGCUCUUUAAGUUGGGAGGAAGGGCAGUAAGUUAAUACCUUGCUGUUUUGACGUUACCAACAGAAUAAGCACCGGCUAACUUCGUG
rnacentral:rRNA from 1 species